GGGGCUGUGGCUCAGUGGUAGAGCGCUCGCCUAGUAUGUGUGAGGCACCGGGAUCGAUCCUCAGCACCA
rnacentral:tRNA from 1 species